rnacentral:rRNA from 1 species
CUUGUAACAAAGGCAUGUGCACGUUUCCUUUCAAUCUAUUCAUCCACCUGUGCACCUUUCUGUAGAAGCUUUUUCAGGUCGUUGUUAGGGGGCUGUACUUCAGUGCAGCUCUGUUGAUGAUUCUGGGCUUCUAUGUCUUACAAACUCUAAUAAAAUGUAAUUGAAUGUCUUUUUAUUGGGACUUAACUGGACCUUUAAAACUUAUACAACUUUCAGCAACGGAUCUCUUGGCUCUCGCAUCGAUGAAGAACGCAGCGAAAUGCGAUAAGUAAUGUGAAUUGCAGAAUUCAGUGAAUCAUCGAAUCUUUGAACGCACCUUGCGCCUCUUGGUAUUCCGAGGGGCAUGCCUGUUUGAGUGUCAUUAAAUUCUCAACUUCAAAAGCUUUUGCUUCUGGAGCUUGGACUGUGGAGGCUUGCUGGCAUCACUAGAUGUUCUCAGCUCCUCUUAAAUGCAUUAGCGGAAACCGGAUUAGUCGGACCUAAGCCUUGGUGUGAUAAUUAUCUACGCCUUGGUGUCUGACGGGCUCUUUGGUUGGGAUAGCUGCAACUAAACUUGCUCUGUCUGCUUUCAUUUCAAGGAGCUGUGGGGUGUCUGCUCUCUAACCGUCUGUUUUC